GCUCACUUGGCCGAGUGGUUAAGGCGGCAGACUUAAGUUCUGCUACAUUUAAUGUGCGCAGGUUCGAACCCUGCAGUGAGCA